GACGUAGGGCGCGAGCGUUGUCCGGAUUUAUUGGGCGUAAAGAGCUCGUAGGCGGCUUGUUGCGUCAGCUGUGAAAACCCGCAGCUCAACUGUGGGCUUGCAGCUGAUACGGGCAGGCUAGAGUUCGGUAGGGGAGACUGGAAUUCCUGGUGUAGCGGUGAAAUGCGCAGAUAUCAGGAGGAACACCGAUGGCGAAGGCAGGUCUCUGGGCCGAUACUGACGCUGAGGAGCGAAAGCGUGGGGAGCGAACAGG
rnacentral:rRNA from 1 species